GAACACAAAAUGGCGACACGUGGUUAGCAUUCGUCGCCAACGAGAAAUUGGGGUCGGCCCGAAAGCUCUAGAAUGCACCCCCCUUCUUCCCCGGGGCCUUCCACCUCCGCGAGUUUUAUGACUUAAAAAACCCCACAGGCUGGUCUGAAGGUCGGAGGCCUAAUUUUAACGCGUUUUCCUCCCUUUAAUUUGAAACGCGAACGCGAAUGGCUGUAAAAUACUUCCUAGCAUGGGCUGUUGUGCUGGAGAGAACGAGAGCUACGAAGAGACUACAAUGCCUCUGACUUUUUCAUAGGACAGUUGGCCGAGGAAGACAAACAUAAAGAUGAAGUGCUUAAUUCAAGGUCACACAAUGUCGGGGAUGG
rnacentral:antisense_RNA from 1 species